GACGAACGCUGGCGGCGUGCUUAACACAUGCAAGUCGAACGGAAAUAAAGGAGCUUGCUCCUUUAAAUUAGUGGCGAACGGGUGAGUAACACGUGGGCAACCUGCCCCUGACUCUGGGAUAACUACUCGAAAGAGUAGCUAAUACCGGAUAUGAAACCUGAAGACAUCUUCGGGUUUGGAAAGUUUUUCGGUCAGGGAUGGGCCCGCGGCCUAUCAGCUAGUUGGUGAGGUAGUGGCUCACCAAGGCGACGACGGGUAGCCGGCCUGAGAGGGCGACCGGCCACACUGGGACUGAGACACGGCCCAGACUCCUACGGGAGGCAGCAGUGGGGAAUAUUGCGCAAUGGGCGAAAGCCUGACGCAGCAACGCCGCGUGCGGGAUGAAGGCCUUCGGGUUGUAAACCGCUUUCAGCAGGGAAGAAGCGAAAGUGACGGUACCUGCAGAAGAAGCACCGGCUAACUACNUGCCAGCAGCCGCGGUAAUACGUAGGGUG
rnacentral:rRNA from 1 species